UCGAAAUAAACCCGAGCAGGCUGUUUGCUGGUCCUCCAUGUGGGGACAUGUGCACGCUUGUCGUCUUUAUUUUUCCAACUGUGCACAUAUUGUAGACCUGGAGCUUUCUUAUCGUUCGAAUAGAUUGAGGACUGCCAUGUAAUGUGGCUUUGCCUUGCAUUUCCAGGUCUAUGUUGUAAUACAUUUUCACAACGUGUUUCAGAAUGUCGAGUACCGGGGAUAACAAAUAUA
rnacentral:misc_RNA from 1 species